rnacentral:misc_RNA from 1 species
GAUCUAACGAUACGGCUUCGAACAUUCUAAAUUACAAAAACGGAUUAUUCUUCUCUCAUUCGUGCUUUCGAUUUUUUUACAUUGAUGUUUCCCUUGGAAAUAACUUGUGAAGAAUAUAAGCUGUGAUUUUUCUUCUUCUUCUUCUUCUUCAAAAAAAAUAUUUUCAAUUAACAUAAACAAGAAGAUGGAUUGAAUAUUCCUCGAGCUUCUGAUAAACCUAAUGUCAAUGAAAGAAAGCCUUAUGAUCAUCUUUUUAUUUGGCGUAUAAUAUUAU